rnacentral:rRNA from 1 species
GAUGAACGCUGGCGGCGUGCCUAAUACAUGCAAGUCGAGCGAACGGACGAGAAGCUUGCUUCUCUGAUGUUAGCGGCGGACGGGUGAGUAACACGUGGAUAACCUACCUAUAAGACUGGGAUAACUUCGGGAAACCGGAGCUAAUACCGGAUAAUAUUUUGAACCGCAUGGUUCGAAAGUAAAAGACGGUCUUGCUGUCACUUAUAGAUGGAUCCGCGCUGCAUUAGCUAGUUGGUAAGGUAACGGCUUACCAAGGCAACGAUGCAUAGCCGACCUGAGAGGGUGAUCGGCCACACUGGAACUGAGACACGGUCCAGACUCCUACGGGAGGCAGCAGUAGGGAAUCUUCCGCAAUGGGCGAAAGCCUGACGGAGCAACGCCGCGUGAGUGAUGAAGGUCUUCGGAUCGUAAAACUCUGUUAUUAGGGAAGAACAUAUGUGUAAGUAACUGUGCACAUCUUGACGGUACCUAAUCAGAAAGCCACGGCUAACUACGUG